AGCAGCCGCGGUAAUUCCAGCUCCAAUAGCGUAUAUUAAAGUUGUUGCAGUUAAAAAGCUCGUAGUUGAAUUUCGGGGUUUAUCCGUUGGUCGGGCUUUUUGGUCUGUACUGGCGUGAUGGAUUCCUACCUUCUGAAUAACCGGCAUGCCAUUAAUUUGGUGCGCCGGGGAAGCAGGACUGUUACCUUGAAAAAAUUAGAGUGCUUAAAGCAGGCUUAUGCCUGAAUACAUUAGCAUGGAAUAAUGAAAUAGGACGGCAUGGUUCUAUUUUGUUGGUUUCUAGGAUCACCGUAAUGAUUAAUAGGGAUAGUUGGGGGCAUUAGUAUUCAAUUGUCAGAGGUGAAAUUCUUGGAUUUAUUGAAGACUAACUUCUGCGAAAGCAUUUGCCAAGGAUGUUUUCAUUAAUCAAGAACGAAAGUUAGGGGAUCGAAGACGAUCAGAUACCGCCGUAGUCUUAACCAUAAACUAUGCCGACUAGGGAUCGGACGAUGUUAAUUUUUUAAUGACUCGUUCGGCGCCU
rnacentral:rRNA from 1 species